UACGUAGGGUGCAAGCGUUGUCCGGAAUUAUUGGGCGUAAAGAGCUCGUAGGCGGUCUGUCGCGUCGAAUGUGAAAACCCGGGGCUCAACCCCGGGCCUGCAGUCGAUACGGGCAGACUAGAGUGUGGUAGGGGAGACUGGAAUUCCUGGUGUAGCGGUGAAAUGCGCAGAUAUCAGGAGGAACACCGGUGGCGAAGGCGGGUCUCUGGGCCAUAACUGACGCUGAGGAGCGAAAGCGUGGGGAGCGAACAGG
rnacentral:rRNA from 1 species